rnacentral:rRNA from 1 species
CUAGAGAUAGUUUGGUGCUAGCCUGCUAGAACUUUUCACCAGGUGCUGCACGGCUGUCGUCAGCUCGUGUCGUGAGAUGUUGGGUUAAGUCCCGCAACGAGCGCAACCCUCGUGUUUAGUUACUAACAGUUCGGCUGAGGACUCUUGACAGACUGCCUGGGUAACCAGGAGGAAGGUGAGGACGACGUCAAGUCAUCAUGGCCCUUACGGCCAGGGCUACACACGUGCUACAAUGGGGUAUACAAAGAGCCGCGGUACCGCGAGGUGGAGCAAAUCUCAUAAAAUAUCUCCCAGUUCGGAUUGAAGUCUGCAACUCGACUUCAUGAAGUUGGAAUCGCUAGUAAUCGUGAAUCAGCAAUGUCACGGUGAAUACGUUCCCGGGUCUUGUACUCACCGCCC